ensembl:lncRNA
GUAUUACCUGUAGCGACCUGAACCCUCCCUUGAGCAGCACAAACACAGGGCAACACACAGACAGGUCACAUGGAAGCAAGAGCAGGAGGGGAAAGGAGAAGAUAGAAUGCACCACAAUCAGUGAGGAAGCAUCCCAACACAGUGAGUGAGUGAAGGCCUCGAUAUACUUCAAACUAAACCAGCGCAUACGCACAGAGCUAAGGCACAACUCGGGCGUGGAUCAGCGCACUAGAGGGGACCCUGACUCUGGUUUAAUCAGGGUACCAAAAACCGCUUUUUCAAGGGUCUAAAACUUGAUAAUAUCUCUUUGAUGAUCCUCAACAUAGUGGUCUAUGCCUUGUUAUCACCGUUACUGAAAUAAGUCCCUAAUAUGGGGAGAAUAGGUGCACUCUGCUUCAGAAACAGCUAGCCUUCUUUUCGUGACGUUGAAGUGCUGAGGGACAUGGGCGGCGAGACGCGUGUGGACAGGAAGAGCUCUGUCCGAGCUGGGGUUGACUUUGGGUCAGAGAGAAGCUACACGGCCGUUGUGGAUUUGUCGAGCUGGUUCAGCCGUUAAGAGGGCUGUUUGCGUGUCACAGAGGGUUAUGCUCUAGAUCAGGGGUUCCCAACCUUUUUUGUUUUCCAAGGAUCAGCAUUGGAGGACAGGUAGUCAAUUUGAAUGCCUUAAUUUUAAGACGCAUAAUUUUUAAACAAAUUAUGUUGCUGUUUUUCAACAGCCACAGCUGUUGAAACGGGAUACCCGCUGUGACUGUCCGGGGACCGGGGGUUUGGAAUCACUGGUCAGGCAGACCGCUAGGACGUGUGGACGGUGACGCUGAGCAGCGGUUUAUUUUGACGACGGCGUCUGAGUUAGGGUAAAGCUUUUCGGACACUUGUAGUAAAACGCUGCUCUCCUUCCUAGAACUCUGUUCUAAUUCCAACAGGGGCUUUACUUGCACUUUGAACAAACAACCCCUUAGUCAGUGACAGUGGAGUAACCAAUUUCUAUUGAUUUCAAGUAUAUCGGGGCCUUGGGUGAAUUGACAUGCAGCAUGCUUAGAUUACCUACGGACCCACCCUCCCCCCACAGUAGACUUUGGUCGCCAUGUUUUCAGAUGAAUAACUUGGCUCAAAAUGACAGGGCAAGGGUUUUGGAGGACGGUAGACAUUUGGGGGGGGAAAUGUGUGUGUUUUGCAGUGUGGUUUCGCCAGACAGGACCGCUGUCUGAUUCUGGCAGCAAAACAUAAUAGUAUGCCAGUAUAAGUGUUCUCUAAACAAGAACAUUAAAAAAAGGAACCAAAAGAUGCAUUGUGGGGGAGGGGAGAACGGAGUUGAAGGCGCCGGGAUCGGCUCUCACACCCACUGUUGGGUGUUGACAGAGAUCAUUUGCCAUGAUUGCUGUGGGCCGACAACUGCCUCGGCCAAUCGCAAGAAACCUGGUUUGCUUGUGCCAGAGAGGAAUGAAGAACCGGUAGCAAAAUAUAUUUUGAAUACUUUCCAGAUCAGGGAUCAAACUUCCAAUGAGAGAUGGAGGAGUACAGGUCAGACCAGAGGUCAGACCACAGGGCACACAGCAGGUCAGACCACAGGUCACACCAGAGGUCAGACCACAGGUCACCCCACAGGUCACACCAGAGGUCAGACCACAGGUCACCCCACAGGUCAGACCCACAGGUGACACCAGAGGUCAGACCACAGGUUACACCACAGGUCACACCAGAGGUCAGACCACAGAACACACCUGAGGUCAGACCACAGGUCAGACCACAGGUCACACCAGAGGUCAGACCACAGGUCACACCAGAGGUCAGACCACAGGUUACAUCAGAG